rnacentral:rRNA from 1 species
CCUACGGGAGGCUGCAGUGGGGAAUAUUGGACAAUGGGCGAAAGCCUGAUCCAGCCAUGCCGCGUGUGUGAAGAAGGCCUUCGGGUUGUAAAGCACUUUCAGUGGGGAAGAAAGCCUUGGGGCUAAUACCCUCGAGGAAGGACAUCACCCACAGAAGAAGCACCGGCUAACUCCGUGCCAGCAGCCGCGGUAAUACGGAGGGUGCGAGCGUUAAUCGGAAUUACUGGGCGUAAAGCGCGCGUAGGCGGUCUGAUAAGCCGGUUGUGAAAGCCCCGGGCUCAACCUGGGAACGGCAUCCGGAACUGUCAGGCUAGAGUGCAGGAGAGGAAGGUAGAAUUCCCGGUGUAGCGGUGAAAUGCGUAGAGAUCGGGAGGAAUACCAGUGGCGAAGGCGGCCUUCUGGACUGACACUGACGCUGAGGUGCGAAAGCGUGGGUAGCAAACAGGAUUAGAUACCCUAGUAGUUC